rnacentral:rRNA from 1 species
GCUACGGGAGGCAGCAGUGAGGAAUAUUGGUCAAUGGACGAGAGUCUGAACCAGCCAAGUAGCGUGAAGGAUGACUGCCCUAUGGGUUGUAAACUUCUUUUAUAAAGGAAUAAAACGAGGCACGUGUGCCUUGUUGCAUGUACUUUAUGAAUAAGGAUCGGCUAACUCCGUGCCAGCAGCCGCGGUAAUACGGGGGAUCCGAGCGUUAUCCGGAUUUAUUGGGUUUAAAGGGAGCGUAGAUGGGUUGUUAAGUCAGUUGUGAAAGUUUGCGGCUCAACCGUAAAAGUGCAAUUGAGACUGGCAGUCUUGAGUACAGUUGAGGUAAGCGGAAUUCGUGGUGUAGCGGUGAAAUGCUUAGAUAUCACGAAGAACCCCGAUUGCGAAGGCAGCUUACUAAACUGUGACUGACAUUGAUGCUCGAAAGUGUGGGUAUCAAACAGGAUUAGAUACCCCAGUAGUC